UACGGGAGGCAGCAGUGGGGAAUAUUGCACAAUGGGCGCAAGCCUGAUGCAGCCAUGCCGCGUGUAUGAAGAAGGCCUUCGGGUUGUAAAGUACUUUCAGUCGUGAGGAAGGUGUUAAGGUUAAUAACCUUAGCAAUUGACGUUAGCGACAGAAGAAGCACCGGCUAACUCCGUGCCAGCAGCCGCGGUAAUACGGAGGGUGCGAGCGUUAAUCGGAAUUACUGGGCGUAAAGGGCACGCAGGCGGUUAAUUAAGUUGGAUGUGAAAUCCCCGGGCUUAACCUGGGAAUGGCAUUCAAGACUGGUUAGCUAGAGUCUUGUAGAGGGGGUAGAAUUCCAUGUGUAGCGGUGAAAUGCGUAGAGAUGUGGAGGAAUACCGGUGGCGAAGGCGGCCCCUGGACAAAGGCUGACGCUCAUGUGCGAAAGCGUGGGGAGCAAACAGGGAUUAGAUA
rnacentral:rRNA from 1 species